UUGGUUAAGUUAGAAAGGGCGCACGGUGGAUGCCUUGGCACUAGGAGCCGAAGAAGGACGGGACUAACACCGAUAUGCUUUGGGGAGCUGUACGUAAGCGUUGAUCCAGAGAUUUCCGAAUGGGGGAACCCACUAUCUUUAGUCGGAUAGUAUCCUUACGUGAAUACAUAGCGUGAGGAAGGCAGACCCAGGGAACUGAAACAUCUAAGUACCUGGAGGAAGAGAAAGAAAAAUCGAUUUCCUGAGUAGCGGCGAGCGAAACGGAAAGAGCCCAAACCAAGAAGCUUGCUUCUUGGGGUUGUAGGACACUCUAUAUGGCUUUCCCUCCAGAGUGGAUCCUGAGUACGGCGGAACACGUGAAAUUCCGUCGGAAUCCGGGAGGACCAUCUCCCAAGGCUAAAUACUCCCUAGUGACCGAUAGUGAACCAGUACCGUGAGGGAAAGGUGAAAAGCACCCCGGAAGGGGAGUGAAACAGUUCCUGAAACCGUGUGCCUACAAGUAGUUAGAGCCCGUUAAUGGGUGAUAGCGUGCCUUUUGUAGAAUGAACCGGCGAGUUACGAUUUGUUGCAAGGUUAAGCGGAAAAAGCGGAGCCGUAGCGAAAGCGAGUCUGAAUAGGGCGCAUAAGUAACAGGUCGUAGACCCGAAACCAGGUGAUCUACCCAUGUCCAGGAUGAAGGUAAGGUAAUACUUACUGGAGGUCCGAACCCACGCACGUUGAAAAGUGCGGGGAUGAGGUGUGGGUAGCGGAGAAAUUCCAAUCGAACUUGGAGAUAGCUGGUUCUCUCCGAAAUAGCUUUAGGGCUAGCCUCGAGGUAAAGAGUCAUGGAGGUAGAGCACUGUUUGGACUAGGGGCCCUUCUCGGGUUACCGAAUUCAGAUAAACUCCGAAUGCCAUGUACUUAUACUCGGGAGUCAGACUGCGAGUGAUAAGAUCCGUAGUCGAAAGGGAAACAGCCCAGACCACCAGUUAAGGUCCCCAAAUAUAUGUUAAGUGGAAAAGGAUGUGGGGUUGCUUAGACAACCAGGAUGUUGGCUUAGAAGCAGCCACCAUUGAAAGAGUGCGUAAUAGCUCACUGGUCGAGUGACCCCGCGCCGAAAAUGUACCGGGGCUAAACAUAUUACCGAAACUGUGGAUGAACCUCUUUAGAGGUUCGUGGUAGGAGAGCGUUCUAAGGGCGGUGAAGUCAGACCGGAAGGACUGGUGGAGCGCUUAGAAGUGAGAAUGCCGGUAUGAGUAGCGAAAGAAGGGUGAGAAUCCCUUCCACCGAAUAUCUAAGGUUUCCUGAGGAAGGCUCGUCCGCUCAGGGUUAGUCGGGACCUAAGCCGAGGCCGAUAGGCGUAGGCGAUGGACAACAGGUAGAGAUUCCUGUACCAGUGCUAAUUGUUUAACCGAUGGGGUGACACAGAAGGAUAGGGAAUCGCACGAAUGGAAAUGUGCGUCCAAGCAGUGAGUGUGAGAAGUAGGCAAAUCCGCUUCUCGCGAAGCAUGAGCUGUGAUGGGGAAGGAAAUUAAGUACGGAAGUUCCUGAUUUCACGCUGUCAAGAAAAGCCUCUAGGAAGAGUAGUACUGCCCGUACCGCAAACCGACACAGGUAGAUGAGGAGAGAAUCCUAAGGUGAGCGAGAGAACUCUCGUUAAGGAACUCGGCAAAAUGACCCCGUAACUUCGGGAGAAGGGGUGCUCUAUUAGGGUGCAAGCCCGAGAGAGCCGCAGUGAAUAGGCCCAGGCGACUGUUUAGCAAAAACACAGGUCUCUGCAAAACCGUAAGGUGACGUAUAGGGGCUGACGCCUGCCCGGUGCUGGAAGGUUAAGAGGAGUGCUUAGCUUCGGCGAAGGUACGAAUUGAAGCCCCAGUAAACGGCGGCCGUAACUAUAACGGUCCUAAGGUAGCGAAAUUCCUUGUCGGGUAAGUUCCGACCCGCACGAAAGGCGCAACGAUCUGGGCACUGUCUCAACGAGAGACUCGGUGAAAUUAUAGUACCUGUGAAGAUGCAGGUUACCCGCGACAGGACGGAAAGACCCCGUGGAGCUUUACUGCAACCUGAUAUGGAAUGUUUGUACCGCUUGUACAGGAUAGGUAGGAGCCGAAGAGACGUGUGCGCUAGCAUACGAGGAGGCAAUGGUGGGAUACUACCCUGGCUGUAUGACCAUUCUAACCCGCCACGCUUAGCGCGUGGGGAGACAGUGUCAGGUGGGCAGUUUGACUGGGGCGGUCGCCUCCUAAAGAGUAACGGAGGCGCCCAAAGGUUCCCUCAGAAUGGAUGGAAAUCAUUCGCAGAGUGUAAAGGCACAAGGGAGCUUGACUGCGAGACUGACAAGUCGAGCAGGGACGAAAGUCGGGCUUAGUGAUCCGGUGGUUCCGCAUGGAAGGGCCAUCGCUCAACGGAUAAAAGCUACCCCGGGGAUAACAGGCUUAUCUCCCCCAAGAGUCCACAUCGACGGGGAGGUUUGGCACCUCGAUGUCGGCUCGUCGCAUCCUGGGGCUGUAGUCGGUCCCAAGGGUUGGGCUGUUCGCCCAUUAAAGCGGCACGCGAGCUGGGUUCAGAACGUCGUGAGACAGUUCGGUCCCUAUCCGUCGCGGGCGCAGGAAAUUUGAGAGGAGCUGUCCUUAGUACGAGAGGACCGGGAUGGACACACCGCUGGUGUACCAGUUGUUCCGCCAGGAGCAUCGCUGGGUAGCUAUGUGUGGCAGGGAUAAACGCUGAAAGCAUCUAAGCGUGAAGCCCCCCUCAAGAUGAGAUUUCCCAUUUCUUCGGAAAGUAAGAUCCCUGAAAGAUGAUCAGGUAGAUAGGUUUGGAGUGGAAGUGUAGCGAUACAUGGAGCGGACAAAUACUAAUCGAUCGAGGACUUAACCAAAA
rnacentral:rRNA from 1 species